GAUGAACGCUGGCGGCGUGCCUAAUACAUGCAAGUCGAGCGAACGGACGAGAAGCUUGCUUCUCUGAUGUUAGCGGCGGACGGGUGAGUAACACGUGGAUAACCUACCUAUAAGACUGGGAUAACUUCGGGAAACCGGAGCUACUACCGGAUGAUAUUUUGAACCGCAUGGUUCAACAGUGAAAGACGGUCUUGCUGUCACUUAUAGAUGGAUCCGCGCUGCAUUAGCUAGUUGGUAAGGUAACGGCUUACCAAGGCAACGAUGCAUAGCCGACCUGAGAGGGUGAUCGGCCACACUGGAACUGAGACACGGUCCAGACUCCUACGGGAGGCAGCAGUAGGGAAUCUUCCGCAAUGGGCGAAAGCCUGACGGAGCAACGCCGCGUGAGUGAUGAAGGUCUUCGGAUCGUAAAACUCUGUUAUUAGGGAAGAACAUAUGUGUAAGUAACUGUGCACAUCUUGACGGUACCUAAUCAGAAAGCCACGGCUAACUACGUG
rnacentral:rRNA from 1 species